GACGAACGCUGGCGGCGUGCUUAACACAUGCAAGUCGAACGGAAAGGCCCUGCUUUUGUUGGGUGCUCGAGUGGCGAACGGGUGAGUAACACGUGAGUAACCUGCCCUUGACUUUGGGAUAACUUCAGGAAACUGGGGCUAAUACCGCAUAGGAGCUCCUGCUGCAUGGUGUGGGUUGGAAAGUUUCGGCGGUUGGGGAUGGACUCGCGGCUUAUCAGCUUGUUGGGGGGGUAGUUGCUUACCAAGGCUUUGACGGGUAGCCGGCCUGAGAGGGUGACAGGCCACAUUGGGCCUGAGAUACGGCCCAGACUCCUACGGGAGGAAGCAGUGGGGAAUAUUGCACAAUGGGCGGCAGCCUGAUGCAGCAACGCCGCGUGCGGGAUGACGGCCUUCGGGUUAUAAACAGCUUUCGCCUGUGACGAAGAGUGAGUGACGGUAAUGGGUAAAGAAGCAACGGCUAACUACGUG
rnacentral:rRNA from 1 species